rnacentral:rRNA from 1 species
UCCGUAGGUGAACCUGCGGAAGGAUCAUUAAUGAAUUUUAGGACGUUCUUUUUAGAAGUCCGACCCUUUCAUUUUCUUACACUGUGCACACACUUCUUUUUUACACACACUUUUAACACCUUAGUAUAAGAAUGUAAUAGUCUCUUAAUUGAGCAUAAAUAAAAACAAAACUUUCAGCAACGGAUCUCUUGGCUCUCGCAUCGAUGAAGAACGCAGCGAAUUGCGAUAAGUAAUGUGAAUUGCAGAAUUCAGUGAAUCAUCGAAUCUUUGAACGCACCUUGCACUCUUUGGUAUUCCGAAGAGUAUGUCUGUUUGAGUGUCAUGAAACUCUCAACCCCCCUAUUUUGUAAUGAGAUGGGUGUGGGAUUGGAUUAUGGUUGUCUGUCGGCGUAAUUGCCGGCUCAACUGAAAUACACGAGCAACCCUAUUGAAAUAAACGGUUUGACUUGGCGUAAUAAUUAUUUCGCUAAGGACGUUUUCUUCAAAUAUAAGAGGUGCUUCUAAUUCGCUUCUAAUAGCAUUUAAGCUUUAGACCUCAAAUCAGUCAGGACUACCCGCUGAACUUAAGCAUAUCAAUAAGCGGAGGAAAAG